rnacentral:lncRNA from 1 species
AUUCAAUCUAUGACCCAUCCAUCUUGCUGACGGCCGACCUGAGCAGCUACCUGAGAGCAGGCAGCGCCUCGAUGAAGGCCACCGAAUGACCUGGAAGCCACCAUGAUGGGCAGGGCCCUUGAGGUUAAUGAGACACAGGUUUGGAUGUCUCUAUUCAGAAGACUUCGGCCGGUAAUCCCCCUCUCAUGGGCUGUCUCAUCCUGCACUUGGUAUCAAGAUUCUCCCGAUCUGGUGAAGGCAGUGUUGCUGUGUUCCUUCUGGAUCUAUUCUAUGGAAAAGUGUGCAUAAAAUUGGCAUGGGAAAUGGGACAUUUUUCUAAAUAGGGGAAAAUAUUUAAGGCAAAAAUCCUGAUAGAAAAAUCAAGAAUACAAAUUCAGAGCUUGGGAAAUUCAUCUCUCCACCAUCUCCAAUCUGAGGUCGGGGGAUGUUACACUAACCUUCAGGUACAGCUGUGGUGAAGGAUGAAGUGUUGACUGAUGCAGGGGUGGAAUUUUGUUUCUAGAACAUUGAUCCUUGGGUCGUGCUUUGCACAGAGGAACAUGCUUUCCAGAGAAAUGCACACACACUCCCAAAGGCAUUCACCAUCACUCCAUAUGGACUCUCUCCUCCACACCUCCCCACCCUGAUGCACCCCUAUUCCUAUUUAAAUGACAUCACUGCUUCUGGGAACUGCAGUGGGUGGCCACAGUUGUUGACUAAACUCUUCAUUUUUUUACACCAAACUGCCCAAACUUCAUUUCCAGCAGGAGGCUCAAACGAGGGUAGUUCUCCAGCAAAAGUAGGGAGGAAAGUGUCACCUUUCUCAAAGCUAAGAUUUUUCCUUAUCAAAUGGGAGAUCCCAGAGUAUGUACCAUACAGAUCAAUUGCUGACUGUGUCUGCAGAGAAAAAGGAAAACACUCUGAGCGUCAGACCAUGCAGUGUCCUGUGUUCAUGGGUCUUUUCUCCACUUGGUGACAUUAGAAAACUGGUCGGGAGAUAGUGCUCGAGGAAAUGGCCCCCAAAUAAAGCCUAGAAGACACUUGAGAAAAUGCACAA